CUCAGAUCGGNNGAGAUUACCCGCUGAAUUUAAGCAUAUUACUAAGCGGAGGAAAAGAAACUAACAAGGAUUUCCCCAGUAACGGCGAGUGAAGCGGNAAGAGCCCAGCACCGAAUCCCUCAGUGUCAUGCUGACGGNAACUGUGGUGUGUGGGACGCCACCAGUCGCAUCGGAGGGUGCCGAAGUCCUCCUGAUCGGGGCUUCACCCAGAGCGGGNGUAAGGCCUUUGCAGGUGCUUCUCCGUGCGGCCGCGAGCGUCUCAGGAGUCGGGUUGUUUGGNAAUGCAGCCCAAA
rnacentral:rRNA from 1 species